GAUGAACGCUGGCGGCGUGCUUAACACAUGCAAGUCGAACGGAAGGGCCUCUGCUUGCAGGGGUACUCGAGUGGCGAACGGGUGAGUAACACGUGGGUGAUCUGCCCUGCACUUCGGGAUAAGCCUGGGAAACUGGGUCUAAUACCGGAUAGGACAAUGGUUUGGAUGCUGUUGUGGAAAGUUUUUCGGUGUGGGAUGAGCUCGCGGCCUAUCAGCUUGUUGGUGGGGUAAUGGCCUACCAAGGCGUCGACGGGUAGCCGGCCUGAGAGGGUGUACGGCCACAUUGGGACUGAGAUACGGCCCAGACUCCUACGGGAGGCAGCAGUGGGGAAUAUUGCACAAUGGGCGCAAGCCUGAUGCAGCGACGCCGCGUGGGGGAUGACGGCCUUCGGGUUGUAAACUCCUUUCGCUAGGGACGAAGCGUUUUUGUGACGGUACCUGGAGAAGAAGCACCGGCUAACUACGUG
rnacentral:rRNA from 1 species